rnacentral:rRNA from 1 species
UAAUACGGAGGAUCCAAGCGUUAUCCGGAUUUAUUGGGUUUAAAGGGUGCGUAGGCGGCUUAUUAAGUCAGGGGUGAAAGACGGUGGCUCAACCAUCGCAGUGCCCUUGAUACUGAUGAGCUUGAAUACACUAGAGGUAGGCGGAAUGUGACAAGUAGCGGUGAAAUGCAUAGAUAUGUCACAGAACACCGAUUGCGAAGGCAGCUUACUAUGGUGUUAUUGACGCUGAGGCACGAAAGCGUGGGGAUCAAACAGGAUUAGAUACCCUGGUAGUCCACGCCCUAAACGAUGAAUACUCGCUGUUAGCGAUAUACAGUUAGCGGCUAAGCGAAAGCGUUAAGUAUUCCACCUGGGGAGUACGCCCGCAAGGGUGAA